UUGUCUCUCUCUGGGGGGGGGGGUCGGUCACUUUCAAAACGCCGUCUAUGUUAGGUUGGGUUGGGUUUUGCCGAUCGAUUGUAAUGGCUUUCUUAUUUUUGUCAAAAAAAAAGCUCACGCACGAGGCACGAUUGUGCUCCUGGACGAGCAGACAAGUCAAGAUCAUCAUCAAACCAAAGAACCCCCCAUCAUCAAGGUCAUUUCUUCUCUCUCUCUCUCUCGCUCGAUUAAUUUUCCGGACGAUGAUUAGUGCCCUUUGAUUUGAUCUGCAUUGUCGUCUGCAUAUAUUGACUUUGCCCUCAUAGAGGGCGGGGGCGGGUAUGUAUAGCUGAUCCAAACAGUGAGGUAUCAUGAUGUUGCCUCAAAGCGUCUAUCUACAUGCGCUCCUUGUUGCGUGUUGUUGUGUUCUCCUCCUUCUUCUUGCCGAUGCACUAAGAACCCACCCUUCUGAAGGUGG